rnacentral:rRNA from 1 species
GAUGAACGCUAGCUACAGGCUUAACACAUGCCAGUCGAGGGGAAACGACAUCGAAAGCUUGCUUUUGAUGGGCGUCGACCCGCGCACGGGUGAGUAACGCGUAUCCAACCUGCCCAUCACUUGGGAAUAACCUUGCGAAAGUAAGACUAAUACCCAUUGACAUCCCACGAAGACAUCUGAAUGGGAUUAAAGAUUUAUCGCUGAUGGAUGGAGACGCGUCUGAUUAGCUUGUUGGCGGGGUAACGGCCCACCAAGGCAACGAUCAGUAGGGGUUCUGAGAGUAAGGUCCCCCACAUUGGAACUGAGGCACGGUCCAAAAUCGGACGGGAGGCAGCAGUGAGGAAUAUUGGUCAAGGGGCGAGAGCCUGAACCAGCCAAGUAGCGUGCAGGAUGACGGCCCUAUGGGUUGUAAACUGCUUUUAUAAGAGAAUAAAGUGAGUCUCGUGAGACUUUUUGCAUGUACCUUAUGAAUAAGGACCGGCUAAUUCCGUG